rnacentral:rRNA from 1 species
UCAAAAACAUGUCCUAUUGUAUAAUAAUUUUAGGUUUGACCUGCCCCCUGAUUUAUUAAAUGGCCGCGGUAUUUUGACCGUGCUAAGGUAGCAUAAUCAUUAGUUUCUUAAUUAGAAGCUGGAAUGAAAGGUUGGAUGAAAAAAUUUCUGUCUCUAUUUAAAUUAAUUAUAAUUUUAUUUUUUAGUUAAAAAGCUAAAAUAAUUUUAAAAGACGAGAAGACCCUAUAGAGUUUUAUAUUUAAGUAUUUUAAUAUUUAUUGGUAUAUAAAUUUUUAAUUUAAUUAAAUAUUUGAUUGGGGUGAUUAAAAAAUUAAUUAAACUUUUUUUAUAAAUUUUACAUUAAUUAGUGAUUGGUUGGUCCAUUUUUUAUGAUUAUAAGAUUAAAUUACCUUAGGGAUAACAGCGUAAUAUUUUCAGAGAGUUCUUAUCGAAGAAAAAGUUUGCGACCUCGAUGUUGGAUUAAAAUUAAUUUUUGGCGUAGCAGUUAAAAAAUUGGGUCUGUUCGACCUUUAAAAUUUUACAUGAUCUGA